rnacentral:rRNA from 1 species
AACGAACGCUGGCGGCAGGCCUAACACAUGCAAGUCGAGCGAGGACUUCGGUUCUAGCGGCGGACGGGUGAGUAACGCGUGGGAAUGUGCCCUUCUCUACGGAAUAGCCCUGGGAAACUGGGAGUAAUACCGUAUACGCCCUAUUGGGGAAAGAUUUAUCGGAGAAGGAUCAGCCCGCGUUGGAUUAGGUAGUUGGUGGGGUAAUGGCCUACCAAGCCGACGAUCCAUAGCUGGUUUGAGAGGAUGAUCAGCCACACUGGGACUGAGACACGGCCCAGACUCCUACGGGAGGCAGCAGUGGGGAAUCUUAGACAAUGGGGGCAACCCUGAUCUAGCCAUGCCGCAUGAGUGAUGAAGGCCUUAGGGUUGUAAAGCUCUUUCAGCUGGGAAGAUAAUGACGGUACCAGCAGAAGAAGCCCCGGCUAACUCCGUG